rnacentral:rRNA from 1 species
GUGUCAGCAGCCGCGGUAAUACGUAGGUGGCAAGCGUUGUCCGGAUUUACUGGGCGUAAAGGAUGCGUAGGCGGAUAUUUAAGUGAGAUGUGAAAUUCCCGGGCUUAACUUGGGAGCUGCAUUUCAAACUGGAUAUCUAGAGUGUGGGAGAGGAGAAUGGAAUUCCUAGUGUAGCGGUGAAAUGCGUAGAGAUUAGGAAGAACACCAGUGGCGAAGGCGAUUCUCUGGACCAUAACUGACGCUGAGGCAUGAAAGCGUGGGUAGCAAACAGGAUUAGAUACCCUGGUAGUCCACGCCGUAAACGAUGAGUACUAGGUGUAGGAGGGUCCAACCUUCUGUGCCGCAGUUAACACAAUAAGUACUCCGCCUGGGAAGUACGAUCGCAAGAUUAAA